CCUUAGCCCCGAUUGCAGCGGCAUCCUUUUUUUGCCUUGGCUUGAAAAAAGCGUUGGCGGAAAAAGAUAUAGCGGAAAGCGGGAUUAAGC
rnacentral:sRNA from 1 species